AACGAACGCUGGCGGCAUGCCUAACACAUGCAAGUCGAACGAGACCUUCGGGUCUAGUGGCGCACGGGUGCGUAACGCGUGGGAACCUGCCCUUAGGUUCGGAAUAACACCCCGAAAGGGGUGCUAAUACCGGAUAAUGUAUUCGGAUCAAAGAUUUAUCGCCUUUGGAUGGGCCCGCGUUGGACUAGCUAGUUGGUAGGGUAAAAGCCUACCAAGGCGACGUUCCAUAGCUGGUCUGAGAGGAUGAGCCGCCACACUGGGACUGAGACACGGCCCAGACUCCUACGGGAGGCAGCAGUGGGGAAUAUUGGACAAUGGGCGAAAGCCUGAUCCAGCAAUGCCGCGUGAGUGAUGAAGUCCUUAGGGUUGUAAAGCUCUUUUACCCGGGAUGAUAAUGACAGUACCGGGAGAAUAAGCUCCGGCUAACUCCGUG
rnacentral:rRNA from 1 species